rnacentral:lncRNA from 1 species
CACAUAAAUAAAAAAUGGUUAUUUUAAACGGUCUUUCUUAGUUUAUCUUUUAAUAUAAUAUGGUCCUUUCUAUAACAUAUAAUUAAUUUUUGUGUCGUACAAAUAAAAUUCAGGUGGUAUGAUGGGCAAUGUGUCAAGUAUCCACCCAAAAAAUAUGAAACAAUUAACUACAAAAAAAUACAACCCUAAUUUUCAAAAAAUAAAUUUAGGAAGAUUUCCAAAAAAUAUAAUGGUUUGAAUCCAAGCAAUGCAUACUCUGUAAUAAAAAGGUGUCUCACGGC